UAGUUAUGCAUCAUAGAAACUCAGUGAAGAUGAAUGACAACCUGCUGAGAGCUGAUGGUACCGGGGUGAAUUGAUAAGGAUACUUUGAAAAUUCUAUGCCUUUUAUGAUUUGUGAAAAUCAUAAUGAAUGGUAAAAGCCAAAAGAAUAAGUCAGUUUGCCAAGCUUUAGUGCAUAUAAAAGUAAUAGCCUUGUGGUGGCUGCAAUAGACGACUCAGUGAGGAAUAAUCCAACGGGGUAUAAGUGUGGUAGCUUAUAUGACAUUGGAAAUACCAAACAAAGCCAUUUGUCUUGAAACAGAGAAAUCUGCGUAUAACACAAGAACUAUGUUAAAGUAGCCUUAUGACAAAGCAGACGAGAUUUAUACUUCUGAAAGUUAGGUGAAAUUUAUGAGUAAUCAUUCUCAUGUAGGGCAUGGUACUUUGUACUGGGGUAAGAAGCUUAGGGUCGCUCCCGACAGCUCAGACUUAUCUCCCUAGUGACCGAAUAUAUAUGAAACUAUUGCGAGGUACAGUGAAAACUGUCUAUGAUGUAUAAUUA
rnacentral:sRNA from 1 species